GGGGUUAUAGUUAAGAUUAUAACAUUUAAUUUGCAAUUAAAAAUCAUUUAGUAAAUAAUUAUCCUCA
rnacentral:tRNA from 1 species